CAGCUUUGCUGGUGCUCAGUGCAGUUAAGAGUUCAAGUCUGUUGUUCUCCUGGGCACUAUCUUGCCCUCUCCUUUUAACCAGCAGCAGCUGAACAGCGCAGCAGUGCCAUCACAUGAACCACUUAAAUGCAUUGGCUACACACCCAGUCUUGACCUCAAUGCCGAAAAAAUAAUGUCGUAUGCAUAAGAGAUGACUGCAAGCAAAUCUAGCAGUUUUGAAGAGCAGUUAGAAGACAGUAGUAUUUACAGAGAUUGGAAAAAAGAUGUUCCUGUCUGCCUCCCAACACUUGGAUGGUCAUCAGAACUUGCACUAAAUGAAUGUCUACUGACUUGCACAGAAAGAAGUGAUAAUAAUGUUGGACCUCUUUUGGAGAAGACUUGAUAGGCUCCAUUACUUGCUGCCGUUGCGACUUUGACACAAUUAUUCAUAUGAUCACAAAGGUACACAAACUUCAAGUGCUGUUUUGAGAUGUUAGAAAUGUAGAAAACUGUUGUUUCUAAAUUUUCUUUUUCCCAACAGUCUUUUGAUCAGUUAAAAUUGAAAUAUUCCUGUUCCCUACCAUUAUUCCUCAUUUGCAUAUUUAAGUGCUUUUCUGGUUGGAGGCCAGAAAAAAGUUGUCUUAUAUUUAGGAUUUGAUGGCAUAUGCUCUAAACAUAAUUAAGGCUGCAUGGUACGUUUCCUAGAAUUGUUGUACACCUGAGUAAAACAUUUCCUGGAACUGCUACCAGACAUUUUUAGUGCCUAGAUAGUACCUGGUAAAUGCUUCAGUACAGAGCUUCGCAAGGCUUUUGGACAGAUAGUGACAUCCAGUGGAUAGUUUGUGAAGGUGACAGAUUGAGCCACCCAUGCGUUAGUUCGUCAUCUGCCUUGGCUACAAUGUAGUGUAUGCUGACAGGUCAGUAACCGCAAAACAAGCAAAGCUCUCCCUUUUUUUUGCACGAUCUUUGAAACUGUGAUAUGAUUACACAGGCUUUGCCCACUGCUUAACCCUAAAAGUUUGUGAAGUUUGAAUCUACACAAGAAUGGAGUGCUAGCAAGCAUUUGAUGAAAUAGAAUGUCUUUGUAGCUCUGUGUUUCGUGUUCACUGUUACUGGCAAUUGUGUUGUUCGAAAUGUGUUCCUGAGCACUUAUAACCCUGGGCCCAAGCUGCCAGGUUAACUCAAAACAUAUGAGAUGCAUGGCACCCUUUUUGUGUUGACAGAGCCUGUAUUCCUAACACCACCACAAAGAAGGGGGGAAAUACCCACCUGGAAGCAUGGUGGUAUGCAGCAGUCUGUCCAGUUCUCUCUGCUUCAUUUGUUACAUUUAGGAUGUAAUGCACCAUCUGCAACACCUUUUUGUCCGAGCCACAGCAAAACCGU